rnacentral:rRNA from 1 species
AUUGAACGCUGGCGGCAGGCUUAACACAUGCAAGUCGAGCGGAGAUGAGGUGCUUGCACCUUAUCUUAGCGGCGGACGGGUGAGUAAUGCUUAGGAAUCUGCCUAUUAGUGGGGGACAACAUUCCGAAAGGAAUGCUAAUACCGCAUACGUCCUACGGGAGAAAGCAGGGGAUCUUCGGACCUUGCGCUAAUAAAUGAGCCUAAGUCGGGUUAGCUAGUUGGUGGGGUAAAGGCCUACCAAGGCGACGAUCAGUAGCGGGUCUGAGAGGAUGAUCCGCCACACUGAGACUGAGACACGGCCCAGACUCCUACGGGAGGCAGCAGUGGGGAAUAUUGGACAAUGGGGGGAACCCUGAUCCAGCCAUGCCGCGUGUGUGAAGAAGGCCUUAUGGUUGUAAAGCACUUUAAGCGAGGAGGAGGCUACUGAGACUAAUACUCUUGGAUAGUGGACGUUACUCGCAGAAUAAGCACCGGCUAACUCUGUGCCAGCCGCCGCCGUAA